GUGGAUUAGAUACCCUGGUAGUCCACGCCCUAAACGAUGAAUACUCGAUGUUAGCGAUAUACUGUUAGCGUCAAAGCGAAAGCGUUAAGUAUUCCACCUGGGGAGUACGCCCGCAAGGGUGAAACUCAAAGGAAUUGACGGGGGCCCGCACAAGCGGAGGAGCAUGUGGUUUAAUUCGAUGAUACGCGAGGAACCUUACCCGGGCUUGAAAGUUAGUGAAUGGAUCAGAGAUGAUUCAGUGAGCAAUCACACGAAACUAGGUGCUGCAUGGCUGUAGUCAGCU
rnacentral:rRNA from 1 species